CCUACGGGUGGCAGCAGUGAGGAAUAUUGGUCAAUGGGAGAGAGCCUGAACCAGCCAAGCCGCGUGAGGGAGGACGGCCCUGUGGAUUGUAAACCUCUUUUGUCGGGGAACAAAACCCGGGACGUGUCCCGGGCUGCGUGUAUCCGAAGAAAAAGCAUCGGCUAACUCCGUGCCAGCAGCCGCGGUAAUACGGAGGAUGCGAGCGUUAUCCGGAUUUAUUGGGUUUAAAGGGUGCGUAGGCGGUCCGUUAAGUCAGCGGUAAAAUGGCGGGGCUCAACCCCGUCGAGCCGUUGAAACUGGCAGUCUUGAGUUGGAGAGAAGUACGCGGAAUGCGCGGUGUAGCGGUGAAAUGCAUAGAUAUCGCGCAGAACUCCGAUUGCGAAGGCAGCGUACCGGCGCCAGACUGACGCUGAGGCACGAAAGCGUGGGGAUCGAACAGGAUUAGAUACCCGGGUAGUC
rnacentral:rRNA from 1 species